CAGCCGCCGCGGUAAAACGUAGGUGGCAAGCGCUGUCCGGAAUUAUUGGGCGUAAAGGGCUCGCAGGCGGUUUCUUAAGUCUGAUGUGAAAGCCCCCGGCUCAACCGGGGAGGGUCAUUGGAAACUGGGAAACUUGAGUGCAGAAGAGGAGAGUGGAAUUCCACGUGUAGCGGUGAAAUGCGUAGAGAUGUGGAGGAACACCAGUGGCGAAGGCGACUCUCUGGUCUGUAACUGACGCUGAGGAGCGAAAGCGUGGGGAGCGAACAGAAUUAGAUACCCCAGUAGUCCCUGUCUCUUAUAC
rnacentral:rRNA from 1 species